rnacentral:lncRNA from 1 species
ACAGCCACAAGAAUGGAUCAAAAUUGAAAUGGACUGUUCAAAUUUUGCCAUAGCCCAAAUAUUUUAAAUAAAAAUUAUAAAUAAAUUAAAUAUAUUAAAUAUAUUGAGAAAUUUAAAUUCAAAUUCGAUCGGUAUAAUAAAGUGAUUAAAUAAAUCAAUUUAUUUAUAAUUUAAAUUUAUUUAAAUUAAAUUUAAAUUUAUUUAAUAUAAAUUGAUUACGAAUAAAAUUGAUAGAUUCGAUCGUAUUUUGCUAUUUCUGUA